UUGAAUUUUGAAAGUGAGCUUGAUGCUGGCUUCGUCACUGAAGUAUGUGCUCAGCUCCGCAUUCGAAAUCCAUUCAACACCUGUGCACUUUCAAAGUUGUAGUCCUCCGUCAUGGGAGCCGCGGUUUGUUAACUCAAGCUGCUGGGAUUACGCUUUGCCCUUUAUCACAAACUAUAUGCGUUGUCUUGUAGAAUGUGUCAGCCUCUAGUGGGCGAAAUGUAAUA
rnacentral:misc_RNA from 1 species